rnacentral:miRNA from 1 species
CAGAUCGUUUUAAAGGGCUAGCAA